UCUAAUUUUAGAAAUGAGUUUUUACAAUUCCAUAAGAGCUAACGGAUAUUUAAUUGAUGUAAGGAGAUAGUAGACUUAUAAAUUAUGGUGAUAACCUAAUUUUUACAUGCAAAAGGGAAGAAAUAUGAUUAAAUCUGUCAAGGUUGUUUGUAUAAUGAUUGUCUUUUCUUCCAUAUUAGUUUUUUCAAUGAAUGUGAAGACAAACUGGAAAUGUGUAGUUACAGAUGAUUGUCCAACAAAUCUGUGCGGGGUUGGUAUGGUGGUGAAGUGUAAGUAUAGAUAUUGUAGAUGUAUGACAGUGUGGGUUCCAGAAAAGUUUGUAACCACUUGAUUGUAUAUUUAGGAAUACAAAGGUAAUUUACUAGAAUGUUUAAUGAACUGUCAUUUAGUUAUUGUGUUGACACACACUAUAUUUUGAUUUAAA